CAUCUAUUAUUUUUCUGGAGUUUGAGUAUCUACUAGAACAACCUUUAAUUUUCCCUUAUUGCCUAUUCUUAUCAUUGCCCAGCCACCAUCACAAAUGAAAAAAGGAUGGAGAAGAACAAGUCUGGAUGUUGGGUUGGGGACAAUCCAGUAAGACUCUGGAGUGGGUAAAUGUCUGGUGUGGAUGAAAAGAGGCCUACAGAAGAAGGGGGAGUAGAAGUAGGUUUGAGUGAGAACAGUGCGCCCACCUCCACCAAACCGGGAGCAAGUGUGACAAUACAGACUCAGAAAAGUAAAUUGGCAUGGACUGCACUUCCGGGUUGGAGCAAGUUGAAAGGCAUCAAUGUUCUGGGCUGUGAUGUCACCUUCAAUGUGACCUUGGGUCAUUCUCAAGAUCCACCCCACAUCCCCAUAACCUGGGGGUUUUUACAUUCCCAGGAUCUUUGCCCACCAAGGCCACUGCCCUUUCCCAAAGCAUCUUGUUUCCACAGAGUCUGAAGUUCACAUACUAAUGUUCUGGAGUGAUGGACUCUCUCUUAAGUAUCUUGUUUACAGUCUCAUGCUGUGCAUUUUUUUUUUUUUUACCAUGUCUGCAUGGGAUAUGGCAAAGGGUUUGGUUUAGUGUAGAUAAAAAGAAUGCUGCAGAAUCAUUCGCUAGAACCUUUAGCAUAUGAUUGCAAAGUUGGUGGGUCUUUCUCUUUUUCUCUCUAUCUCAAAGUUCAGGGCAAGUAUAAUAAUAAGUUAUUGUGUUUGGAAACAAAUUCAUGCUUAAGCAUUCUUAUGUUAUAUCCCCUCUCUGUUCCCCAGACGUGGUAUGACAUCUACUUGUGGACACACUCUGCUUUCUGGUUUUUCUGUUUCUGAUUAGAAACUCAAAAACAAUAUGAGAAACAUACCUGAAAACAGCAGAAGAUCUGGAUCAUUCCGGCCAGCAAUUCAAAGUCUGCCAAAGGGAAAUCAAGUAUUGUAGAAACCUACGGGGCCUCUCAGAGCAUUUUACCAGAACUGUGGCAGGGUGACUGAUUGUGGUAUUCUCUUUGUAUUCUCUAUGCUGAAUCAUUUGCCAGAACUUCCAAUAUAUGAUUGCAAAACUAGACUUUUUUAAUGUUAUCUUGUCUCAGAUUUCUAAGCCUGAAAGAUUGAGGCUGUUGCUGAACGAUGCUUAAUUAACCAAGGCAUUGAGCUCCAACCAUGAGGCUUUGAGGAGUUUGAUAUCUAGCCCCUCUUGGCAUCAUAUGCUAAGACUGGCUGUGAGGCUAUGAGAAUCUUAAGUACCUGCACGCUGUUCAUAAGUGGUACUCUAAAACUCCUGAGGAAAUAAGGGAGACUGGAAUUAGUGGGAUUAGCUUGUGGGAUUAGCUUGUGUCCUUUGGCUUAGCCUCUUUCUCUCCAGAAAUUUCACUUUUGGCUCAGUCCUCACAGGGGAAGAAAGUCUUGUCCAAAGAUGGCGUCUACCCUGUGCUCCACUGUGUAUCCCAGAGGAGAGCAUCUUUACUGUGGAAUGGACUUCCAGCUGACUCAUGUUGGGGAAAGGUGAGCUGGGGCAUAGGCACCUCAUAGCUAGCUUCUAAUAAUCUGAGGUUCUCAUUUGGUAGCAGAAUUAGUUGUUUUGAGCAUGACUCUGGUGAAGGAGAAAUCAAGGAAGAGGGACAGAAAGGGCAUUAAUAUGAAUCCCUAUCUUACUGUAUUACAAAGCGUAUAAAAGCGGGUUUAUAUAUGUUAUCUCAUUGCAUUCUGUACAUGCUGUAUGGCAGUUAACCUUGAUCACAUUUUAAAAUGAAAGACUCAGAGAUAUUAAGUGAUGUGCCCCAGGUCACAUGGUUACAAAAAGUGUACACACACACUACAUGCCUGAAAAGCUGCAAACUUUCCUCUCUAUCAGUCUUAGAAGUGGGGAAGCUUCUUCUAAGUUGGCAAUUUCAACUCAGCGAAGCAAAGUGCCCUCACAAUUAGAGUUCUCUUGGGAAUGGCUGUUCUGGUGAGCCCGUGUACUUUCUCUCCAGGGAGUUGUUGCAACAGUGGCUGGAAAACAUCUUAGGGCAACUGGGAGGUUAUCAUGAGCAUGCACAUAAGAUCUUUUAAGACCUCUUGCAACUGUGAGCAUUUGCCU
rnacentral:lncRNA from 10 species